GGAGGUUCCUUCUCUCAAAAUGCUGCCCAGGGGAGGGGUAGUCGGAAGAUGGUAGCCAGGGCAUCCUGGCUUAGCGUCCACUUUGUGUCCUGCUCGUGAUAGGAUUUGCCUCUGCCUGUUGCACACCUGGAGUCUCCUGUCUAUCACCCAAUAGAACAUCCCCUUGUGUGCCUGGAAGCUGGCCUUUUCUGGACAUAGCCAAGCCAUGAGAAGCGCUACUCUUUGGGAUGUUGGGUGGUUUCAGCCAUCUCUGCAUUCUUUCACAGCCUAUAUUGUAAAGGAAUCUCAUGCCUUUUCCAGGUGUAUAAACUUUUUAUGAAGCACAUCAUAUAGUCAGAAAAUUACCUGGCCUGUAAAGGUUAUUUGUGUCCUUGGGUCUACUGGUCUGGUGGUCUCUUCUCAUGGUGAGGUUGGGGACUGCGCAAACGGCAAGAGAACAACAUUGCAAGUGGCAAAUGGAAACAUUUGCAGCUCUGAGCCUCUCCUUGAGGCACGUCUGUGGACUUCCUGUUGGUCAGGAACAUGCUGUCCCUGCACAGAGUCCGGUGGGAGCUGCUCAAAGUUUAGAGACCCAAGAAAGCGGGUACUGGGUCAUGUGAUGGAUCAAAGCCGCAGGCUGACAAGAACACUUGGAAGCAGAGGCCGAACUGUGACACCUCCAGUGCCACUCCAAGGACUGAUGAGCUGGAACCGCAGCUGCUGUGGCCUCUCAGGAAUGCUCAGCCCUCAAGCUAUGCAUAUGAGCGGUGUCAGCCUCACGGCUAAGAGGCCCCUUAGCGACAGGAUCUGAACCCCGCUGUAGACCGGCAGAUCCAAACACCCUGUGUUGGCCACCUCCCUCCUGGAUCACUCAUUUUCUUCUAAGAAAUACAUGUUCUCUCAAUACCCAGAAUGCUUUCAAAUAACAGAAGAAGGUAAGUUGUACAUCAGCCUCUCAACCCUUCUGCAGACUGACUUCACAUAGAGCAUACUUGGAGGGUGGGCUCUCUGGUGGCUUGACUUGCGGCAUUUGCCUAUUAUAUCCUCGUGAUUCCUCUGAAUUGGUGCUAGUGUCGUCCUUGCUUUAAGCAUGGGAGUGAGACACAGUGCUGUCUGAGCAACGUGCAACCAAGAUGGAGUUGUCAGAGCUGCGUGAUAACAGCCCAGGCAGUCUGUCUUCCACACAGCCCUUACCUGUGCUGGAAACACCGUGAUUACUCGGUACUCCAUAGUAACUUUCAUGUACACGACGUUCACCUUAAGGUCACAGGGGUGACUGUUAUUCUGUAGACCAGGAAGAAAAGGAUCCAGGUAGCCAUGGAGGGAAUGGCAGUAUAGUAACACGAAGUGCAAACAGCUUUUGCCCAUCAGUUACCCCAAUGUGUAAGUCUUAUUUAAUCCUCAUAGUACACACACUCCCUCAGCCCCCACAUCAACACGGUGGGUGGGAGUUGCUGCUGUUGUUAGUGGUGCCAAGACAGCGGAGGCUUCUCCCAUGUGAGGCCCCGGAUGGAUAGUCAGCUGUUGCUGUUCCCAGCACAGGGACAGUUUGGUGCUAAUGCUCUCUAUACAAUGGAGCAUGAUGCUCUACCUCAGGGUGUCUCUUCAGUGGUUCAAAGUGGAUUUGCAAUAAAAACAUUUAGAGUUCAUCAGUAGGCAUGCUGCAGUCCUUCUUUUAUAAUCAAAUGAUUGAUUGUCCCAUGUGGAGAAAUCUAGAAGAUCCGGUAGCAUCCACCAAAGCCCAUCUUCUUGAAGGUCUGGGAAGCUUCCAGUUAUAGUGUGUUCUAAGGAGCAAGAAUACAAGAGAGAAGCCCUAACAGGGAAGCCUAAGCUGGGGGCUGCUUUUCCCCUGGAGGUGACUGCUGACUGCCAGAGACAAGUGACAAAGGUGGAAACUUGGCUUUAGAACCUGUGGUUACCUAGGACUGGUCUUGACAAGGAGGGGUAUGCCUCUAGAGAGAGGGCGAGCUGGAAUUUGAUCAGCCUUUCAAGAGGGCCAGCCCUGAGUUGCCUCAGCUGCUGAAGGUCCUUGGGGAUUUGGGCCUGUCAGUGAUCUGCCAUAGUCACUGUCCAGGAGCCAGGAGGAGCCUUCUCUAGAGGAUGAUAAUACAUUUAGAGCCUCAAAUAAUAAAACAUGCCUAUUGUCUGUGAUAUUAGUUGGAAUACACCAACUGGAGAGAGUAAACUGUUGGGAUUCCCUUCGUGUCAAAUUAUGUGUCUACCUUUAGGCAAGCCAAGCACUGAGCUGCUGCUCACAAAGGGUUUGUUGGGGAAGAAGAAACAUUUGAUUUUUAUAAAGAUUGGCAAGCAUUUAUGGAGACACUGUUAGCUAAAUCCAUAAUGUGUCAAUUUAACCAAGAAUAUUCUGAAACAAUUGCAUGACACAAUUGAAAUGUGAUACCUUGUAUUUGGAAAGCUUCUGCCUCUUUAAAUAAAUAGGCUAUAAGGUGAGCCACAUCAUGGUUUAAAAACCCUGCAUAUAAUUUUCUGUGUGCCCUUUCAGAAACUGAGCAUUUUGAUUAUGAUUGAUUUUAGAUUUUGAUUAAUUAAUUUUCUAUAUGCAUGAGUACACUGUCAUGAUAUCUUCAGAAAUAUCAGAAGAGGGCAUUGGAUCCCAUUACAGAUGGUCGGGAGCCACCAUAUGGUUGCUGGGUAUUGAACUCAGGACCUCUGGAAGAGCAGUCAAUGCUCUUAACUGCUGAGCCAUCUUUCUGUUUUAGAUUUGAAGCUGGGGUUUGUCUAUGUUAUUGAGAACAAAGCAUAUGUAUAUGUGUAUUUCUAUGUGACUGUAUUUGCAUAUUUAUGUAUAUCUGUACAUGUGUGUAUAUGUAUAUAUAUACUGUAUUUUUAAAUGGAAAAUUUCCUUACAUCUAUCAGAUAAUAUUUGUUUUGCCAUGUGGUCUAUUAAAAGUACAUAAGUCAUGCCCAACACCAUCAAAAUAACCGACACACCUAACAUUAAGAAAACAGUGGCAGGACCAGGCUCCCACCAUCGACUGAUCAGAGGGAAUUUGAUACAUAUGCAUAGAACACAGGUGGGAGGUUGAACGGGGAAUUGAAAAACUUGGCAUAGCACUGGAAACAAACCCAAAAAUUAAAAAAAGACUUCAUACCUUUGAAAAUUAUAGAACUGAAACCCUCAGAAGUUGAAAUAAGGAGUGAAAUGAGUAGGUUUGAUAGAGACUAUAACUGAGCAUUGAAUCGGGGAGAAGGACGAUGGGUGAAAGGCAGCAUCCUGGUAGGAGCACAGAGAUGCAAUGACAGGCAUCACAAAG
ensembl:lncRNA